rnacentral:lncRNA from 1 species
UAAUUUUUGUAUUUUUAGAAGAGACGGGGUUUCACCAUGUUGGCCAUGAUGGUCUCGAUUUCUGACCUUGUCAUCCGUCCGCCUUGGCCUCCCAAAGUGCUGGGAUUACGGGCGUGAGCCACCGUACCCAGCCUGCUUCCUGUUUUAACAGACGAAGAAAUGGAAUAACUUCCAACAAGUUGGAGCUGAAGGAGUGCCCAGGCUGCGGAUGGAGGAAGGACGUGCUCGGGAGAAGGUGAAGAUGGGAGAGAAGCAAGAUCUUCUGUGUUUGGACCAAGGACACAUUUCCUUACUCCAUAGCAGCUGUGGUCAGUGGCUUAGCUCGGACAAGGAGAUGAGAGCCCAUGUGUUGUGAGGGUUCUUCUGGGAACUCUGAGAAGGCAGGAGCCGCCCCCGCCCUUCACUGCCUCUCUUCCAUUCUGCAGCAUGGAAUAUGGAUGUGUGGUCUGGAUGUACAGACACCAUUUUGGACCAUAAAGACAAGGACGAUUGUCUAAGGAUGACACAGCCAGAGCACUGAGAGUGGCGAGAAGGACAGGGGAGCUG